CUGCCGAAAGGUUGGCGCGCUCUCCCGCGUGGGGCGCCCGACCCGCCGGGUCCACGUGCCGCGGCGCACGCCGGCGUGCGCGGGAGAAUGGGCCCCGUGCCAAAUGAAGGGCGGCUCGUGCGUUCUGGCUCCGCCUCGGUCUGGCGCCUCUGCAAGGUCAGGGGUGCCGCCGAACAGGUUCGCGUGCGCCCCGGCUGGUGGCCCAGCAGAGCCGGCCGACCAGCCAGCGCCGUGCGCCACGGCACGCGCCGGCGCGCGCGCGGCUGCCGAUCCGGUGCGCGCGGCGGCGCACGCGGGCGCGCCAAAAAGUGGCCUGGUCCUGGGUCGUUUUAUGUCCACGCGUUGCAUUUGUGGGGAUCCGGCUUCGGGUAGGUGUGGGAAGGAUAGAACCGUCGAGCUCCGCCGGCGCGCCCGGCGUCCUGUUGCCCUCGCGAGCCCCGCCGGGUGCUGCGGCGGGCGGCACGUGCCUUUAGGGGUCGCCCGGUGGCCCCGGCGGCGUGCGCACGCGUGGCACGUGCGCCACAGCCGUGCCGCGCGGCGCCGUGCGCCGCGGCGCGCGCCGCGCGCGCGGCUGCCGAUCCGGUGCGCGCGGCGGCGCGCGGGCGCGCCAAAAAGUGGCCUGGUCCUGGGUCGUUUUAUGUCCACGCGUUGCAUUUGUGGGGAUCCGGCUUCGGGUAGGUGUGGGAAGGAUAGAACCGUCGAGCUCCGCCGGCGCGCCCGGCGUCCUGUUGCCCUCGCGAGCCCCGCCGGGUGCUGCGGCGGGCGGCACGUGCCUUUAGGGGUCGCCCGGUGGCCCCGGCGGCGUGCGCACGCGUGGCACGUGCGCCACAGCCGUGCCGCGCGGCGCCGUGCGCCGCGGCACGCGCCGGCGCGCGCGGCUGCCGAUCCGGUGCGCGCGGCGGCGCGCGGGCGCGCCAAAAAGUGGCCUGGUCCUGGGUCGUUUUAUGUCCACGCGUUGCAUUUGUGGGGAUCCGGCUUCGGGUAGGUGUGGGAAGGAUAGAACCGUCGAGCUCCGCCGGCGCGCCCGGCGUCCUGUUGCCCUCGCGAGCCCCGCCGGGCUGCGGCGGGCGGCACGUGCCUUUAGGGGUCGCCCGGUGGCCCCGGCGGCGUGCGCACGCGUGGCACGUGCGCCACAGCCGUGCCGCGCGGCGCCGUGCGCCGCGGCACGCGCCGGCGCGCGCGCGGCUGCCGAUCCGGUGCGCGCGGCGGCGCACGCGGGCGCGCCAAAAAGUGGCCUGGUCCUGGGUCGUUUUAUGUCCACGCGUUGCAUUUGUGGGGAUCCGGCUUCGGGUAGGUGUGGGAAGGAUAGAACCGUCGAGCUCCGCCGGCGCGCCCGGCGUCCUGUUGCCCUCGCGAGCCCCCGCCGGGUGCUGCGGCGGGCGGCACGAUGCCUUUAGGGGUCGCCCGGUGGCCCCGUCGGCGUGCGCACGUGCGCACGUGCGCCGCGGCACGUGCCGGCGCGCUUGGCGGCCGAGCCGGUGCGCGCGGCGGCACGCGGGCGUGCCCAAAAGUGGCCUGGUCCUGGGUCGUUUUAUGUCCACGCGUUGCAUUUGUGGGGAUCCGGCUUCGGGUUGGUGUGGGAAGGAUAGAACCGUCGGGCUCCGCCGGCGCGCCCGGCGUCCUGUUGCCUUCGCGAGCCCCGCCGGGUGCUGUGGCGGGCGGCACGUGCCUUUAGGGUCGCCCGGUGGCCCCGUGGGCGUGCCCAAAAGUGGCCUGGUCCUGGGUCGUUUUAUGUCCACGCGUUGCAUUUGUGGGGAUCCAGCUCUGGGUACCUGUGGGAACCGGGAAACCCUCGAGACGCUCGUAGUUCCGCGCACGGCGUCCCGCCGCGUCCCCGGCCGUCCGCUGACCCCCGUCCGGCGUCGACGGGCCCCUCGGGGCCUCCGACGCACGGUCGCGCGCGGGCGCGGCGCCGGGUCGCCUCGGGCACGUGACGGCGCGUGAGUAGUGGUCUGCGCGUUGCGCCUGCGGCCCUCCUGCCCGAGUGCAGCCGACCGCGGGCGCGGGUCGCGUCUCGUUCGUCCCCGGAUGCCGGAGGGCUCGCCCCUCGUGGUCUGUACCGCCUAGCCGGAAUGCGGCAACCUCGGAACCCCGACGACUGGGCGCCGGCUCUCCCCUCCCCAGCGGGCGGGCGAGAGGCGGCCGGUCGCGGCCCCCGUGCGUCCCCGACUCGCCCAGCGCGUGU
rnacentral:rRNA from 1 species